AGAGUUUGAUCAUGGCUCAGGACGAACGCUGGCGGCGUGCUUAACACAUGCAAGUCGAACGGUAAGGCCCUUCGGGGUACACGAGUGGCGAACGGGUGAGUAACACGUGGGUGAUCUGCCCUGCACUUUGGGAUAAGCCUGGGAAACUGGGUCUAGUACCGAAUACACCUUGCUGGCUGCAUGGCCUGGUGGGGGAAAGCUUUUGCGGUGUGGGAUGGGCCCGCGGCCUAUCAGCUUGUUGGUGGGGUGAUAGCCUACCAAGGCGACGACGGGUAGCCGGCCUGAGAGGGUGUCCGGCCACACUGGGACUGAGAUACGGCCCAGACUCCUACGGGAGGCAGCAGUGGGGAAUAUUGCACAAUGGGCGCAAGCCUGAUGCAGCGACGCCGCGUGGGGGAUGACGGCCUUCGGGUUGUAAACCUCUUUCAGUACAGACGAAGCGUAAGUGACGGUAUGUACAGAAGAAGCACCGGCCAACUACGUGCCAGCAGCCGCGGUA
rnacentral:rRNA from 1 species